AGGUCUUUCCACUCCAGAGCUGUAGGCCUGUCAGACUCUGCCUCGACUCUCCCACACCAGUGUCCCGGCUCCCUGCCUGGGAAGCAUGAAUACAGCCGAGGGCUCUCAGCCUCAUUGCCUGCCUCUCCCAGGAUGUUGACUUCCAAGAUGCUUUCUUAAAAACUGUUGUUGACCUUGACCCCUCUUUUACAUGAAUGGAGUGGCCAGCAGCUGCUGACCUGCAGUGUGAUUAUCAGUGUCACGAGGAAACCUCGAGCAAUUUGGAAAAGUGUUUUUCAGAGUAUCAACAGAGUAAUUCAUUAGUCCUCCAACAUUUCUUUGAACAAUUUGGAAUCUCUUAUCAUUCUUCUUCUUCAAGUUCCUCCUGCAAAUUCGGUUUGUGGUGGUCAGCAGCUGUGUCUGACAGCAGACUGCAUGUUACCUGACAGUUAUAAACAAAGACAUGAAGGAAGACAACAGUGUCAACAAUCCUGUUGUUUAUUGCCUUUUAUCUGGAAUGGUGCAAACAAAACAGAAUUAGGCCUCAUGCAGGCCUCACCUGAAGGAUCCUCAACAAAACCACACAAUUAAAAUUCACUUGGCUCCACGUUGCAUGGGAAACCUGAAUCACAGGUCACUGAUGAAGAGAGAGGAGAAAAGUGAUUGAAAAACACAUUCAGAAGCUGUCUACUAUUUCUAAGAACUGCAGCAACAUUACAGAGGGAGGAAUAAACUGGAGAUGAGAAAGUCCUUCCAGAGCUCCACCUGUUGUGAUUCUGGUUGAGGUUCUUCUCCAUCCAUUGGGCAAGAAAGCUACUUCAGGAAGGAAACCAACACAUGGCACCAGAAGAGAUGACUGCAUCAGUUUCUGCCUCAUUGGCAUGACAUUUCUUUGUUGUAUGUCACUUCAGGGUGAGGAUUUUACUGAAUCAGGAGUCCCACUGCAAUCUGUGGGGAUAUGAAACACAGAUAAUUGAAUUGUCUGAUGUAACUCCCAGUUAAAAUAAUUGGAAAGAACUCUGUGGUAUCUUCAGAACCUGUUGCCCAAAGUCACAAAGAAAAUACAUCCAAGGAAAGACCUCAGACUUCCUGCUUUCCUCACAAGUUGCCUUAUCUUGAGCCUAUAUUUCCUUUGUAGUAGUCAGGAGCCUAUGUUGUAUUCCUGCUUACAUGUGAAUUUCAAUAAACAGAAUAAGAAGGUCCAAUGUCAUCUGAUUGUGUCAUCAUGUGUGAAUUUUAUUUUUUGGACUUGAGAUGAAGUGCUCACUUUAUUU